rnacentral:rRNA from 1 species
UGCAGUCGAGCGGAGAGAGGUAGCUUGCUACUGAUCUUAGCGGCGGACGGGUGAGUAAUGCUUAGGAAUCUGCCUAUUAGUGGGGGACAACAUUUCGAAAGGAAUGCUAAUACCGCAUACGUCCUACGGGAGAAAGCAGGGGAUCUUCGGACCUUGCGCUAAUAGAUGAGCCUAAGUCGGAUUAGCUAGUUGGUGGGGUAAAGGCCUACCAAGGCGACGAUCUGUAGCGGGUCUGAGAGGAUGAUCCGCCACACUGGGACUGAGACACGGCCCAGACUCCUACGGGAGGCAGCAGUGGGGAAUAUUGGACAAUGGGCGCAAGCCUGAUCCAGCCAUGCCGCGUGUGUGAAGAAGGCCUUAUGGUUGUAAAGCACUUUAAGCGAGGAGGAGGCUACUUUAGUUAAUACCUAGAGAUAGUGGACGUUACUCGCAGAAUAAGCACCGGCUAACUCUGUGCCAGCAGCCGCGGUAAUACAGAGGGUGCAAGCGUUAAUCGGAUUUACUGGGCGUAAAGCGCGCGUAGGCGGCUAAUUAAGUCAAAUGUGAAAUCCCCGAGCUUAACUUGGGAAUUGCAUUCGAUACUGGUUAGCUAGAGUGUGG